rnacentral:rRNA from 1 species
AAUUUUGGACAAUGGGGGAAACCCUGAUCCAGCCAUCCCGCGUGUAUGAUGAAUGCCUUCGGGUUGUAAAUUACUUUUGGCAGAGAAGAAAAGGUAUCCCCUAAUACGAGAUACUGCUGACGGUAUCUGCAUAAUAAGUACCGGCUAACGAUGACCCAGCAGCCGCGGUAACACGUAGGGUGCAAGCGUUAAUCGGAAUUUCCGGGCGUAAAGCGUGUGUAGGCGGUUCGGAAAGAAAGAUGUGAACUCCCAGGGCUCAACCUUGGAACUGCAUUUUUAACUGCCGAGCUAGAGUAUGUCAGAGGGGGGUAGAAUUCCACGUGUAGCAGUGAAAUGCGUAGAUAUGUGGAGGAAUACCGAUGGCGAAGGCAGCCCCUGGGAUAAUACUGACGCUCAGACACGAAAGCGUGGGGAGCAAACA